GCGCGAAAACUUUACAAUGCGGGAAACCGCGAUAAGGGGACACUGAGUGCCAGUACCAUGUACUGGCUGUCCGCAUGUAUAAAUCACAUGUGUCAGCAAGGGCCGGGCAAGACCGGUGCCAGCCGCCGCGGUAACACCGGCGGCCCGAGUGGUGGCCAUUAUUAUUGGGUCUAAAGGGUCCGUAGCCGGUUUGAUCAGUCUUCCGGGAAAUCUGACAGCUCAACUGUUAGGCUUCUGGGGGAUACUGUCAGACUUGGAACCGGGAGAGGUAAGAGGUACUACAGGGGUAGGAGUGAAAUCUUGUAAUCCUUGUGGGACCACCAGCGGCGAAGGCGUCUUACCAGAACGGGUUCGACGGUGAGGGACGAAAGCUGGGGGCACGAACCGGAUUAGAUACCCGGGUAGUCCCAGCCGUAAACGAUGCUCGCUAGGUGUCUGGGAUGGUGCGACCGUUUCAGGUGCCGCAGGGAAGCCGUGAAGCGAGCCACCUGGGAAGUACGGCCGCAAGGCUGAAACU
rnacentral:rRNA from 1 species